rnacentral:rRNA from 1 species
CACGUAGGGGGCAAGCGUUGUCCGGAUUUAUUGGGCGUAAAGAGCUCGUAGGUGGUUCGGUAAGUCAGGUGUGAAACCUCCAGGCUCAACCUGGAGACGCCACUUGAUACUGCUGUGACUGGAGUCCGGUAGGGGAGCGUGGAAUUCCUGGUGUAGCGGUGAAAUGCGCAGAUAUCAGGAGGAACACCAGCGGCGAAGGCGGCGCUCUGGGCCGGUACUGACACUGAGGAGCGAAAGCGUGGGUAGCAAACAGGAUUAGAUACCCUGGUAGUCCACGCCGUAAACGUUGGGCACUAGGUGUGGGUCACAACCAACGUGAUCUGUGCCGUAGCUAACGCAUUAAGUGCCCCGCCUGGGGAGUACGGCCGCAAGGCUAAA